UACGUAGGGUGCGAGCGUUGUCCGGAAUUAUUGGGCGUAAAGAGCUCGUAGGCGGUCUGUCGCGUCGAUCGUGAAAACCCGGGGCUCAACUCCGGGCCUGCAGCCGAUACGGGCAGACUAGAGUUCGGCAGGGGAGACUGGAAUUCCUGGUGUAGCGGUGAAAUGCGCAGAUAUCAGGAGGAACACCGGUGGCGAAGGCGGGUCUCUGGGCCGAUACUGACGCUAAGGCGCGAAAGCGUGGGGAGCGAACAGG
rnacentral:rRNA from 1 species